GGCAUCCCCCUCUCAGGAUCAUUGUGAGUAUCCAAUGAGGUAUUGGUAAAGUGCUCAGCACAUGCGCAGUAGUACAUAGUAGGCCCUCCAUAACUGUCAGCUGUUAUUAGCUGCCAUGGUUGGCUCCUGGGGGCAGAAGCGACCGAACAGUGGCUUCUGUGCGGCAGAGGAGCCUUGCCAAUGGGAGCUGUCUGGCUGCAGGAAGCCCCAGCGGGCGCCCGAGUUUUCCAGCACUGGUGAUGUUCAGGCAGAAGCUGGUGACAUCAUAGUCCAAUUCCCUCCUCUGGGAUUGGUUAGUGAGACGUUCUGACUCAGAGUGAAUGUGAUUCUGCAGUUACAGAGAGACGGAAGAAACUCUGACGUUCGUUGGCAGACGAGUCAUCCCAUCUAACAACUAGAGAAAAAAUCAAUACAACCAAUCAAUACAUUGAAAAAGUUUCAAAACGUGCAACAUGUAGCUGCUGCCCUCUCCCACUUCCACAAAAGGGAGAGAACGACACCCUCAAGCCCCGACACUGCCUGACCAGUGCUCAGUGAUGGAUGGGGAAGGGGUACGUUUUGGGACCCGCUGCCUACAGCCAGCCAAGAUCCUGGAGGGAGCCAACAGAGAGCCAUAGGGGGGUCCCUGUGGCAUCCUAGGGGCAAGGAGCUUGAGGAAGCUCUUUUCCCAUCUAUGAAUGACAAGAGCCCAGGAAAAGACUGCAUCUGGACGAGUGAACUCUGGGGCUCUGGUACUUUGAGGGGAAGGAGAAAAAUGCACCUACCACUGGUUUUCAUUUAAGAUGCAAAAACGAUCUCAUUGUAUCAGGUUAAAUAACUAUCACUCAUCUUAUCUAGCGAUUGCUCCUUUUUUCAAAAGACCCCUCUGUUAGUCCCCUUGGUUCUUUAGCUGAAAAAACCAGCUCAUUUACAGCUUGAUUCCCUACAGGGUCAUUUUCAGUUCUAUUUAAGAAAUCCCCCCAAUAAAAAUGUCAAAUAGAGAGGGAUUCUGGCUCCCCCCCAGGAAGAACCUGGCCUCUUUCCAGGACAAAUCCAUUGGCCAGAGACUGCCCCAAGGAAAGGCCGCUUACUUUAGUGGAGAAAAAAGGGGAAUAAGGGGGGAAAAAAGAAUAAACUUUAAGCCAUUGGCCUCAUCUUCCCAAAUUAAUCUGGAAAUACUUUUCAGGCUGAACCGUUUGUUGAAAUGAUGAUGAUUAGCACUUCUGUGAUUAUCAGCAGCCAUGGAUCCAGCUGAGGCUCUCCACAGAAGGUUACAUCAGCAUGGUUCCAGAAAGUCAGACCACGGGCCUCAUGAAUUCUAGCGGGGGGGGGGGGGGGGGGAUGAUGGCCAACAGUGGGUAAUUAUGGGGUGACCCCUGUUAUCUCAGUACAGGCAGAUCCCAUCUCAGUCUCCUAAGUAACCUGGGGCACUCAGUCGCUAACUUUGUGGGCCUCAGUCUCCUAAUCUGUAAGAGUUGGAAUAAAGAGCCUUAUGGAUUGUUGGAAAUGGAAGCUUGAGGAAAGAUGAUUUCCUCAUCUGUUUCCAUGGAAAUCAUUCUCUCCUCAAGGCCCACCCUUGGGCCAGAAACCUUCCUUGAUUCCCCCUCCUUCACAAAAAGAAAAAUAUUCUCUUCCUCCUCCAAAAUCCCCAGGGCACUUCAUCUGGAUUUCCCCUUUGCCCCCAGCAUACUAGACUUCGCAUAUUUUCUUUAUGUGCAACUCCAGGAGGACAGGGGCUGAGUGGCGUUUCACCUUUGUACCCCAAACAACCGUAAGAACCUUGCUUAUAACAGAGAUUUAUGGAACUGAACUUUUGGGGGGCAGAUCCUAAUAUAGAUUUUCUCAGUGUUUUGAUCCUAAAUCUAUAUUUUUUUCAUGUGCUCUUUUCUUGGGGCACAAAAUGAGAUUUGCUUCCAGGAUACCGCUCACCUGGUGAAACAGCAGCCAGGUGUGCCAGGAGCCAGGUAUGGGGGAGGCAACUGUUACAGUGCAGGAAAGGGGACCCAGCAUGGCUGGGGAGUCAGAGGCUUUCCACUUUCUUUCUAUCAAGGCUACGUGCUUCUCUCUGUAAGUUCUGGUCUGUCCUUGGGGACCCGGAGGAGAGAGCAGGCCCCUGUCUGCCUAAGGGCUACCCA